rnacentral:ncRNA from 1 species
GAAAAGCACCGGGGGUGCCUUUUGAAAUAAAGGCUGAGAGAAUAGUCACUUAUUCAACCCUUAUUAACCUGAUCAGGCUAAAACCUGCGUAGGAAGAUGUGAUAUGACUCUC